AUACCAGCUCUCCGAGUGGUGUGGACGUUUAUUGGGCCUAAAGCAUCCGUAGCUGGCUGAACAAGUCCCCUGUUAAACCCACCGAUUUAAUCGUUGGUGUGCGGGAGAUACUGCUCGGCUAGGGGACGAGAGAGACAGACGGUAUUCCCGGAGUAGGGGUGAAAUCCUAUAAUCCCGAGAAGACCACCAGUGGCGAAGGCUGUCUGCUAGAACGCGCCCGAUGGUGAGGGAUGAAAGCUGGGGGAGCGAACCGGAUUAGAUACCCGGGUAGUCCCAGCUGUAAACGAUGCAGACUAGGUGUUUAAACGGCCACGUGCCGUUCUAGUGCCGCAGAGAAGCUGUUAAGUCUGCCGCCUGAGGAGUACGAUCGCAAGAUUGAA
rnacentral:rRNA from 1 species